AUCUGGGACUCUCGGCCAUUUGACCUUAGAACUGAAGAAGCUUCUCGGAUGAGAGGUGAAACGUCUUCAAGCAACUUAAAGAAGUCCAGACGCUUUUCUUUGCAAACUCCUUUGACUUUCCGGUAUGGUGCAUGUCGCUUUUUCCCUCGCAGCGCUUGGUUUGUAGUUGGAUUUUUGUUUUGUUUUAAUCUAAAGCUACAAAACACCACAGCUGGAUAAGAAUCACUUAUAGCAUUUCACUGAAGGAGGAGAUACAACGAAGCCGCCAAGAUGCCGCGAAUUAUGAUUAAAGGAGGCGUCUGGCGCAACACUGAGGAUGAGAUCCUCAAGGCAGCUGUAAUGAAAUAUGGGAAAAACCAGUGGUCCCGUAUCGCCUCCCUGCUGCACCGAAAGUCUGCAAAA